rnacentral:rRNA from 1 species
GACGAACGUUGGCGGCGUGCUUAACACAUGCAAGUCGAACGGCAGCACGGACUUCGGUCUGGUGGCGAGUGGCGAACGGGUGAGUAAUACAUCGGAACGUGCCCAGUCGUGGGGGAUAACGUAGCGAAAGCUACGCUAAUACCGCAUACGAUCUACGGAUGAAAGCGGGGGAUCGCAAGACCUCGCGCGAUUAGAGCGGCCGAUGGCAGAUUAGGUAGUUGGUAGGGUAAAGGCCUACCAAGCCGACGAACUGUAGCUGGUCUGAGAGGAUGAGCGGCCACACUGGGACUGAGACACGGCCCAGACUCCUACGGGAGGCAGCAGUGGGGAAUUUUGGACAAUGGACGCAAGUCUGAUCCAGCCAUUCCGCGUGCAGGAUGAAGGCCCUCGGGUUGUAAACUGCUUUUGUACAGAACGAAAAGGCUCUGGUUAAUACCUGGGGCUCAUGACGGUACUGUAAGAAUAAGCACCGGCUAACUACGUGCCAGCAGCCGCGGUAA